rnacentral:rRNA from 1 species
GGAAUAUUGGGCAAUGGGCGAAAGCCUGACCCAGCGACGCCGCGUGAGGGAAGAAGGUCUUCGGAUUGUAAACCUCUUUCAGCAGGGAAGAAGUCAGUGACGGUACCUGCAGAAGAAGUCACGGCUAACUACGUGCCAGCAGCCGCGGUAAUACGUAGGUGGCGAGCGUUAUCCGGAAUUACUGGGUGUAAAGGGUGUGUAGGCGGGAUUGCAAGUCAGGCGUGAAAUCAUAAGGCUCAACCUUGUGACUGCGCUUGAAACUGUAAUUCUUGAGAGUGGGAGAGGUAAACGGAAUUCCUGGUGUAGUAGUGAAAUGCGUAGAUAUCAGGAGGAACACCGGUGGCGAAGGCGGUUUACUGGACCACAACUGACGCUGAGACACGAAAGCGUGGGGAGCAAACA